rnacentral:rRNA from 1 species
UGCAGUCGAACGGUAGCAGGAAGUGCUUGCACUUUGCUGACGAGUGGCGGACGGGUGAGUAAUACUUAGGAACAUGCCUUUGUGUGGGGGAUAACCAUUGGAAACGAUGGCUAAUACCGCAUAAUGUCUUUGGACCAAAGAGGGCUUUCGGGCUCUCGCGCAAAGAGUGGCCUAAGUGAGAUUAGCUUGUUGGUGAGGUAAAGGCUCACCAAGGCGACGAUCUCUAGCUGUUCUGAGAGGAAGAUCAGCCACACUGGGACUGAGACACGGCCCAGACUCCUACGGGAGGCAGCAGUGGGGAAUAUUGCACAAUGGGGGCAACCCUGAUGCAGCCAUGCCGCGUGUGUGAAGAAGGCCUUCGGGUUGUAAAGCACUUUCAGUUGUGAGGAAAGGUUGAUGGUUAAUACCCAUCAGCUGUGACGUUAGCAACAGAAGAAGCACCGGCUAACUCCGUGCCAGCAGCCGCGGUAAUACGGAGGGUGCGAGCGUUAAUCGGAAUUACUGGGCGUAAAGCGCACGCAGGCGGUUAUAUAAGCUAGAUGUGAAAGCCCCGGGCUCAACCUGGGAAUAGCAUUUAGAACUGUAUGACUAGAGUCUUGGAGAGGGGGGUGGAAUUCCAGGUGUAGCG